UCCAGGUGUUGCACUGCCUCCGCCAUUAGGUGGUCAAGGAGUUGUAGCUGAUACAGGAGACCUAGCUUCUGGAAGAGGCCAUGGCUUCUCUCGGGGAUCAACUGUCACGGCACCUAGAAGAUCGUCCUUAAAGCCUCUGCACUGGAGCAAAGUAACAAACAAGGGCAUUACAAGGAAGUUUGUGGGAGGAGCUGCAAAGACAUGGGGAGCCCCAAAUGUACUGUAACUUAUUUAUGUAUUUUUUUAGAACUAGUAAUGUCUUUCUGCCACUAUUAUACUUCUGAAAUUUCAAAUUAUGAGUAUCUUACCGGUUUAUGUUUAGUGUUAUUCUUCCUUUAAUUUCUGUGUUGCAUUUUUGUGCUGUAGUGCACCAGAAUUUGAUGUGUCAGAGAUAAGACCCUUUCCUCUGCAACAGUCCCCAAACAUACUGAUUCAGGAGGCAAUGGCGUAGGAAGACUCAAAUCUGUUGGAUCAAAAACCGACAAAGUUCACCUGGUACUCUAAUUAUUCAAUACUUUAACCCUGGUGUUGCCAUACCAUGAAAAAUUGAUGAGUCAUUUGGAUCUGUAGAGGGUUGAUUUCAAUCAGUAGCAAAAGGAAAAAUAAACCAAGAGCUGAGAAUUAAUUGAGGACAUGUAGCUAAAGCCUAAUACAUCACUCGUCAUCACCUGUCACUAUGAACUUAUGAUGGCAAUGACUGAUUUUUUUUAAUCAUAUACUGCUUCCAACUCUUAUCUAUUGAAUUAUGAAAGAAACUUGAACUAAUGUUAUGAUGAAUCAGUAAAACUUGAUAACUCCACCUAUCAAAGUUUAAGCAAUUAGGCGUGUACUUGCCAUCUUGCUAGAUAAAGCUCAUGAAGCAUAAUUACCAGCAUGACUCGUGGUAUAAUUCUUUGCCGCAGGUAAGAAGCAU
rnacentral:lncRNA from 1 species